AGGAUGAACGCUGGCGGCGUGCCUAACACAUGCAAGUCGAACGGGGAGUAUAUUGGUAAUGAGGAUUCGUCUGAAGGAAAAUAGUAUCUUAGUGGCGGACGGGUGGAGUAACGCGUGGGCAACCUACCGUAUACAGGGGGAGUAACACUUAGAAAUAGGUGCUAAUACCGCAUAAGCGCACAGCAGUGCAUACUGGAGUGUGAAAAGCCGAGACGGUAUACGAUGGGCCCGCGUCUGAUUAGCCAGUUGGCAGGGUAACGGCCUACCAAAGCGACGAUCAGUAGCCGGCCUGAGAGGGCGGACGGCCACAUUGGGACUGAGACACGGCCCAGACUCCUACGGGAGGCAGCAGUGGGGGAUAUUGCACAAUGGGGGGAACCCUGAUGCAGCGACGCCGCGUGAGUGAAGAAGUAAUUCGUUAUGUAAAGCUCUAUCAGCAGGGAAGAAUAAAUGACGGCACCUGAGUAAGAAGCCCCGGCUAACUACGUG
rnacentral:rRNA from 1 species